AUGGCUGUCGUCAGCUCGUGUCGUGAGAUGUUGGGUUAAGUCCCGCAACGAGCGCAACCCUCGCCCUUAGUUGCCAUCAUUCAGUUGGGCACUCUAAGGGGACUGCCGGUGAUAAGCCGCGAGGAAGGUGGGGAUGACGUCAAGUCCUCAUGGCCCUUACAGGUUGGGCUACACACGUGCUACAAUGGCGGUGACAAUGGGACGCAAUGGGGCAACCCUGCGCAAAUCUCAAAAAGCCGUCUCAGUUCGGAUUGCACUCUGCAACUCGAGUGCAUGAAGUUGGAAUCGCUAGUAAUCGCAGAUCAGCACGCUGCGGUGAAUACGUUCCCGGGCCUUGUACACACCGCCCGUCACACCAUGGGAGUUGGUUUUACCUGAAGGCGGUGCGCUAACCCGCAAGGGAGGCAGCCGACCACGGUAGGAUCAGCGACUGGGGUGAAGUCGUAACAAGGUAGCCGUAGGGGAACCUGCGGCUGGAUCACCUCCUUUCUGGAGCGAUGAGUAGAGCGCGUCCUUGGCUGGCAACAGCUCAGGCGAUCCCCUCGAAAAUCCUCAAGAAUUGUCGCUCGACUCGUACAACUCCUCUCUUCGAUCUCGAUUGCUCAACGGCACGGCGCACAGGCCCAUCAGGGACAACUCUGAUGGGCCUGUGUCGCCACCCAUGCUGUUUGACAACGGAAGUUGGUGUAGAUCGUGGGAAGCGAAUCAUCACAUUGACGACAAUUUCGUUUUUGUUUUUUUGUUGUUAGUUCUGAUAGAAACGCGCGUGCUCUGCUUGCUACGAACUAUGUAGUCAAGCGAGCGAAGGCAUGUGGAGGAUGCCUGGGCACACGGAGGCGAGGAAGGCCGCGGUAAGCUGCGAUAAGCCAGGGGGAGCGGCACACACGCACUGAUCCCUGGAUGGCCGAAUGGGGAAACCCGG
rnacentral:sRNA from 1 species